AAUGAACGCUGGCGGCAUGCCUAACACAUGCAAGUCGAACGAAGGCUUCGGCCUUAGUGGCGCACGGGUGCGUAACGCGUGGGAAUCUGCCCUUGGGUUCGGAAUAACAGUUAGAAAUGACUGCUAAUACCGGAUGAUGUCGUAAGACCAAAGAUUUAUCGCCCAAGGAUGAGCCCGCGUAGGAUUAGCUAGUUGGUGGGGUUAAGGCCUACCAAGGCGACGAUCCUUAGCUGGUCUGAGAGGAUGAUCAGCCACACUGGGACUGAGACACGGCCCAGACUCCUACGGGAGGCAGCAGUGGGGAAUAUUGGACAAUGGGCGAAAGCCUGAUCCAGCAAUGCCGCGUGAGUGAUGAAGGCCUUAGGGUUGUAAAGCUCUUUUACCCGGGAUGAUAAUGACAGUACCGGGAGAAUAAGCUCCGGCUAACUUCGUG
rnacentral:rRNA from 1 species